UACGGGGGGGCAAGGCGUUGUUCGGAAUUACUGGGCGUAAAGGGGUUCGUAGGUGGCCUGCGUAAGUCGGACGUGAAAUCCCUCGGCUCAACCGGGGAACUGCGUCCGAUACUGGUGGGCUCGAGUGCAGGAGAGGAACGCGGAAUUCCAGGUGUAGCGGUGAAAUGCGUAGAUAUCUGGAGGAACACCGGUGGCGAAGGCGGCGUUCUGGACUGCAACUGACACUGAGGAACGAAAGCCAGGGGAGCAAACGGG
rnacentral:rRNA from 1 species